UCUCAAAGAAGAACGUCGAUUCUGUCGGAGAACCUCCGUCGUUGUCAUCUGAAAUCGUUUCUUCUCUCGUUUUCGCCAGCAAACUUCCUUGUCUUCCCUCUUCUCUCCGGAUCAAAAUCCACAUUCUUCUAAUUCUCUUUGAAAUCCAUUCCAAAUCGACGUUCAUCUCUUUGUAAGGUACUUAUUAAAUGGCUAUUACCAGAGGAGGAGGAUCUAGUUCUAGAAGUGAAAGGGCUGCCAAAACACAAAAUUAGUCUGAUCCAAACCAUUUAGUGUUUGCAGCUGAUGUGGAUAGUGACGAUGAACAUGAAGGGGACUGAUCGGCGAAUGAUCCUGUGUCUGAUAAUGAGGAAAUAGAGAUGGAUUCUGAUGAGGAUUCCAUGCCUCUUCAGCCUGAGAGAUUCUUCUUUACUCCUAAAGAGUAUGUAAAGACUAUGAAGACUUAUACAAGGUGUAACAUUGCUUUCACGCUGGCUGUCAUAGGGCAGAAGCUCAACGACAGAGAAAAGA